UUUGAAAUCUGGCUCUUUCAGAGUCCGAGUUGUAAUUUGCAGAGGGCGCUUUGGCUUUGGCAGCGGUCCAAGUUCCUUGGAACAGGACGUCACAGAGGGUGAGAAUCCCGUACGUGGUCGCUAGCUAUUGCCGUGUAAAGCCCCUUCGACGAGUCGAGUUGUUUGGGAAUGCAGCUCUAAAUGGGAGGUAAAUUUCUUCUAAAGCUAAAUAUUGGCCAGAGACCGAUAGCGCACAAGUAGAGUGAUCGAAAGAUGAAAAGCACUUUGGAAAGAGAGUCAAACAGCACGUGAAAUUGUUGAAAGGGAAGCGCUUGCAGCCAGACUUGCUUGCAGUUGCUCAUCCGGGCUUUUGCCCGGUGCACUCUUCUGCAGGCAGGCCAGCAUCAGUUUGGGCGGNGGGAUAAAGGUCUCUGUCACGUACCUCUCUUCGGGGAGGCCUUAUAGGGGAGGCGACAUACCACCAGCCUGGACUGAGGUCCGCGCAUCUGCUAGGAUGCUGGCGUAAUGGCUGUAAGCGGCCCGUCUUGAAACACG
rnacentral:rRNA from 1 species